CCUGCCAGUGCACCUGACCAUCCUAGCGGCUGGUGCGGUCCAGUGGGGAGCUGAGAGGAAGCCCGGCCUAGGGAACAGGAUUGUUCGCCAUGUGGCUGCCUCUGUGCCGAAAACAUGGAACAGCC